GCACUGCUGACGAGUCUCAGACAGGACGAAAUAGCUGUUCAGUGC
rfam:Echinostoma caproni strain Egypt genome assembly, scaffold: ECPE_scaffold0000254